GAUUGAACGCUGGCGGCAUGCCUAACACAUGCAAGUCGAACGGCAGCACGGGGGCAACCCUGGUGGCGAGUGGCGGACGGGUGAGGAAUGCAUCGGAAUCUGCCUGGUUGUGGGGGAUAACGUAGGGAAACUUACGCUAAUACCGCAUACGACCUACGGGUGAAAGUGGGGGACCGCAAGGCCUCACGCGAUCAGAGGAGCCGAUGUCGGAUUAGCUAGUUGGCGGGGUAAAGGCCCACCAAGGCGACGAUCCGUAGCUGGUCUGAGAGGAUGAUCAGCCACACUGGAACUGAGGCACGGUCCAGACUCCUACGGGAGGCAGCAGUGGGGGAAUA
rnacentral:rRNA from 1 species